UACAGAGGGGGCAAGCGUUGUUCGGAAUUACUGGGCGUAAAGGGCGCGUAGGCGGCCUUCUAAGUCGAACGUGAAAUCCCCGGGCUCAACCCGGGAACUGCGUCCGAUACUGGAAGGCUUGAAUCCGGGAGAGGGAUGCGGAAUUCCAGGUGUAGCGGUGAAAUGCGUAGAUAUCUGGAGGAACAUCGGUGGCGAAGGCGGCAUCCUGGACCGGCAUUGACGCUGAGGCGCGAAAGCCAGGGGAGCAAACGGG
rnacentral:rRNA from 1 species